rnacentral:rRNA from 1 species
GGCGAACGGGUGAGUAACACGUGGGUGAUCCGCCUGCACUCUGGGAUAAGCCUGGGAAACUGGGUCUAAUACCGGAUAGGACCAUGCUUUAGUGUGUGUGGUGGAAAGUUUUUCGGUGUAGGAUGAGCUCGCGGCCUAUCAGCUUGUUGGUGGGGUAAUGGCCUACCAAGGCGGCGACGGGUAGCCGGCCUGAGAGGGUGUACGGCCACAUUGGGACUGAGAUACGGCCCAG